rnacentral:rRNA from 1 species
AGAGUUUGAUCCUGGCUCAGGAUGAACGCUAGCUACAGGCUUAACACAUGCAAGUCGAGGGGCAGCAUGGGAUUAGCUUGCUAAUCCUGAUGGCGACCGGCGCACGGGUGAGUAACGCGUAUCCAACCUUCCCCCUGCUCAGGGAUAGCCCGGUGAAAACCGGAUUAAGACCUGAUAGUUUCACUAGAUGGCAUCUGACGGUGAAUAAAGGUUUCGGCAAGGGAUGGGGAUGCGUCUGAUUAGCUUGUUGGCGGGGUAACGGCCCACCAAGGCGACGAUCAGUAGGGGUUCUGAGAGGAAGGUCCCCCACAUUGGAACUGAGACACGGUCCAAACUCCUACGGGAGGCAGCAGUGAGGAAUAUUGGUCAAUGGGCGGAAGCCUGAACCAGCCAAGCAGCCGUGCAGGACGACGGCCCUAUGGGUUGUAAACUGCUUUUGUGCGGGAAUAAAGUCAGGGACGCGUCCCUGUUUGCAUGUACCGCAAGAAUAAGGACCGGCUAAUUCCGUGCCAGCCGCCGC